rnacentral:misc_RNA from 1 species
UAGAAUGCACUUUUAGAAUAAAGGAUUUAAAUUUUUUGAUGGAUGGUUUGAUUUUUACGUUUCAACUAGUGGUUUAGUAAUCUAUUCAAUAACUUGUCCAUGAUUAAUAUGUAUGCUGAUGCUUCCAUUUUGAGAAGAUAAUGUUCAUUAAUAAUUAUAGUUAAUAAAUCAUAAUGGGUACUUUUAUCACAUUGCAUAUGCCAAUUAAGAAGCAUUAGAUGCUUCCAUUGAAAAAAAGAGUCAGCACAUGGAGACAGAGACCAUGAGCCAAAGCCAACCAAAAAUGCCAAAGUCAGAGAAAAUAAAAAAAAUGGUAAAUGGCCCAUGAUCAUGCACAUGAGAGUGAGAAGGAAAAAAAAGUAAAUAAAUAUGGAUUGAUGGGCAUGUGACAUGUGUCCAAUGCUUAAAGCAAGGACCCAGUAAUAAUCAACUAGAAGUGAAAUGAAAAGAAGAGGGACCAAUACCAAAUUAGCAAUUGGAGAUUUCAAUCAUCUAGCUAGUUGUCAGAAAAAAACUGGGAUGGUGAUCAGAAUAUGUCAG